GAUGAACGCUAGCGGCAGGCUUAAUACAUGCAAGUCGAGGGGGCAGCAAUGUCACCGGCGAACGGGUGCGUAACGCGUAUGCAACCUACCUACAUCAGGGGGAUAGCCCUAGGAAACUGGGAUUAACACCGCAUAACAUAUUUAACGGCAUCGUUAGAUAUUGAAAUAUUUAUAGGAUGUAGAUGGGCAUGCGUAGGAUUAGCUAGUUGGUAAGGUAACGGCUUACCAAGGCUACGAUCCUUAGGGGCUCUGAGAGGAGUAUCCCCCACACUGGCACUGAGAUACGGGCCAGACUCCUACGGGAGGCAGCAGUAGGGAAUAUUGGGCAAUGGAGGCAACUCUGACCCAGCCAUGCCGCGUGCAGGAAGACGGUCCUCUGGAUUGUAAACUGCUUUUGAAUGGGAAGAAUGUGUGGCUUGUGAGCUAUAAUGACGGUACCAUUAGAAUAAGCCACGGCUAACUACGUG
rnacentral:rRNA from 1 species